CCGUAAGAUGGGUGCUAAGGGAAGCACUGGAGGCCAUCGGAGGAGUUCUAACUCUGGGAGACUGGAGAGUCAGGGAAGUCUUCCUGGAAGAGAGCCCUGAGAAGGAAAAGUGGUUCAUUCAACAAAUGUUUACUAAGCACAUGCUAUACUACACAUCAGGCCCUGUUUGAGAUGCUGGAGCCUCAGGGGAGAAGAAAACAGAUAAAGUGCCUGCCCUCAUGAAACUUCUAUUCUAAGGAGGGAAGACAAGUGAUAAGCAAGUGAACCUAAACGGAAACCUAAACCCCAACGUUCCAGACUCCCUUGCAGCCACCGCCCUGGAGACUGGACACAGAGUGUGAACUUGAGAAGGUAGAAGUGUGACGGAGGGUGUGGGGUCGGGCAAAAUGGGUGAAGGGGAGUGGGAGACACAAGUUUCCGGGUGUGGAAGGAAUAAGUCCUGGGAAUAAAAAGCCUGAGAAAUAGAAUCAAUAAUAUUGUAAUAGUGAUCUCUGGUGGCAGAUGGAGCUACACCGUGAUGAGCACAGCAUACUGCAUAAACUUGUCGAAUCACUAUGCUGUACUUGAAACUAAACAUGGUGCGUCAACUGUACUCAAAUUUAAUAAAUAAAUAAAUACCAGAAGUGAGGCAGAGGCCAUGUUCCUGCCGCCAUUGAUUUUGCCACUAGCAAAUAAGCUACGGAAACCCUGUCUCUCUGCAGCCACCUUCCAGGGUUUGGCCACUAGCCUGGUUGGUUGUCAGCUGUAACUUCCUGACCCCUGGGUGAAGUUGUGGUGUUUCCUGCAAAUCAACAGUUCCAAGGGUGGCCUCCUGUCUCCCGCUUUCCCGAGGGGGCAGAGCUAACUGCUCUCCCAAUGGGGCGGCUCAGCAGUGUUAUUACAAGGGCCGUCCCCGAGACCCAGCACAGAACCUCUUGCCCCCUUCCAAAGAUUGUGAAGGAACCAAUUCCUUAUAUUCAAUCCUUCCUGCCUCAAAUACCUUUGGGGGUCUCCAGUUUCCUGCAGCUGAUCCUGAGUGAUCUGGGGGUUGGGAGGCCCAACUCUCCCCCUCGGGAGAUCCCUCUGUUACACAGGCAAGCACCUGUCUACCUCUGCCCGCUGUUUCCCAGCACAGAGCCAACUCCCUGCUGGUAACAAAGCAUUUCCCCUCACUACCUCAGGGUGGUUCAAACCUGGGCAAAGAAUUGUUGCCAGUCUUAACGAACAGUCCACAAGUGUCCCUUUGCCCUGCUUAUUGGAUCCUAAAAAAUGCGAGUGGAUGGGGCAGGCUUGGUGUCCUCUGGCCAUCUUUCCCUGAGUAGGUUAUACCCAGCGAGGUGUUCACUGAUCUGCCCUUCAUCCCAGGCUAACCAGAUACGGAAAAGAUACUGGUCUGAACUUCCAGGUGACUUGCCAAUUAAAGUCAACACUUGAGGAGUGCUACUCUAAGCAAGCCGGUACAAAAAGCACCAAGGAGAUAGAGAGCUUCCCUCUAGGGGCUGAAAGUCUGUGGAGAGAAAUGCACGGAGAGACCAAAUAAACUAAGGCUGGGUGAAUAUCUCCAAGGCACUGCUCCAAAUGAAUGAACCCAUUUAACUGUCGCAGCAAGGCUAUGAAAUACAUCAUAUGGUUUUUCCCCAUCUAACAGAUGAGAAAACCAAGGCCCGGGAAGGUUAAGCCACUCUUCUAGAUUAACACACAGGGUACACUGCUGGGAUUUGAACCCAGGCAACCUGGCUCCAGCAUCCCUGCAGCCUAUCACGUCCAGGCAAUGCGUGAGGCUCCAUGAAGGCGUCACGGGAGCAAAGC